rnacentral:tRNA from 1 species
GCCCGGGUGGUGGAAUCGGUAGACACAGCAGACUUAAAAUCUGCCGGCCUUAUUUGGCCGUGCCGGUUCAAGUCCGGCUCCGGGCACCA